AAAAUGGAGAGUUUGAUCCUGGCUCAGGAUGAACGCUGGCGGUCUGCUUAACACAUGCAAGUCGAACGGAAGUAGCAAUACUUUAGUGGCGGACGGGUGAGUAACACGUAAGAACCUGCCUCUUGGCCGGGGACAACAGUUGGAAACGGCUGCUAAUCCCGGAUGAGCCGAAAGGUAAAAGAUUAAUCGCCAAGAGAGGGGCUUGCGUCUGAUUAGCUAGUUGGUAGUGUAAGAGACUACCAAGGCGACGAUCAGUAGCUGGUCUGAGAGGAUGAUCAGCCACACUGGGACUGAGACACGGCCCAGACUCCUACGGGAGGCAGCAGUGGGGAAUUUUCCGCAAUGGGCGAAAGCCUGACGGAGCAAGACCGCGUGGGGGAGGAAGGUUCUUGGAUUGUCAACCCCUUUUCUCAGGGAAGAAGAAAGUGACGGUACCUGAGGAAGAAGCAUCGGCUAACUCCGUGCCAGCAGCCGCGGUAAUACGGAGGAUGCAAGCGUUAUCCGGAAUGAUUGGGCGUAAAGAGUCCGUAGGUGGCCCUUCAAGUCUGCUGUUAAAGAGCGAGGCUUAACUUCGGAAAAGCAGUGGAAACUGGAGAGCUAGAGUGUAGUAGGGGCAGAGGGAAUUCCUGGUGUAGCGGUGAAAUGCGUAGAGAUCAGGAAGAACACCGGUGGCGAAAGCGCUCUGCUGGGCUACAACUGACACUGAGGGACGAAAGCUAGGGGAGCGAAUGGGAUUAGAUACCCCAGUAGUCCUAGCGGUAAACGAUGGAAACUAGGUGUGGCCUGUAUCGACCCGGGCCGUGCCGGAGCAAACGCGUUAAGUUUCCCGCCUGGGGAGUACGCACGCAAGUGUGAAACUCAAAGGAAUUGACGGGGGCCCGCACAAGCGGUGGAGUAUGUGGUUUAAUUCGAUGCAACGCGAAGAACCUUACCAGGACUUGACAUCUCUGGAAUCCGUCUGAAAGGGUGGAGUGCCUUAGGGAACCAGAAGACAGGUGCUGCAUGGCUGUCGUCAGCUCGUGUCGUGAGAUGUUGGGUUAAGUCCCGCAACGAGCGCAACCCUCGUCGUUAGUUGCCAUCAUUAAGUUGGGAACUCUAGCGAGACUGCCGGUGACAAACCGGAGGAAGGUGAGGAUGACGUCAAGUCAGCAUGGCCCUUACGUCCUGGGCGACACACGUACUACAAUGCUAAGGACAGAGAGCAGCCAACCCGCGAGGGAGAGCGAAUCUCAUAAACCUUGGCACAGUUCAGAUUGAAGCUUGCAACUCAGCUUCAUGAAGGAGGAAUCGCUAGUAAUCGCAGGUCAGCAUACUGCGGUGAAUCCGUUCCCGGGCCUUGUACACACCGCCCGUCACACCAUGGAAGUGAGCCACGCCCGAAGUCAUUACUCUAACCUGCAAGGGGGGAGGGUGCCGAAGGCAGGGCUGAUGACUGGGGUGAAGUCGUAACAAGGUAGCCGUACCGGAAGGUGUGGCUGGAUCACCUCCUUU
rnacentral:rRNA from 1 species